AUACAUAGGGGGCAAGCGUUAUCCGGAAUUAUUGGGCGUAAAGGGUGCGUAGGCGGUCUAUUAAGUCUGAGGUGUAAGUGCAGGGCUCAACCCUGUGAUGCUUUAGAAACUGGUAGACUUGAGUGAGAUAGAGGCAAGUGGAAUUCCAUGUGUAGCGGUAAAAUGCGUAAAUAUAUGGAGGAACACCAGUGGCGAAGGCGGCUUGCUGGGGCUAUACUGACGCUGAGGCACGAAAGCGUGGGGAGCAAACAGGAUUAUAUUCCCGGGUAGGCCACGCCGUAAACGAUGAGUACUAAGUGUUGCGAGAACGCAGUGCUGAAGUUAACAUAUUAAGUACUCCGCCUGAGUAGUACGUACGCAAGUAUGAAACUCAAAUGAAUUGACGGGG
rnacentral:rRNA from 1 species